UAAUACGAAGGGGGCUAGCGUUGCUCGGAAUUACUGGGCGUAAAGGGCGCGUAGGCGGACAGUUUAGUCAGAGGUGAAAGCCCAGGGCUCAACCUUGGAAUUGCCUUUGAUACUGGCUGUCUUGAGUUCGGGAGAGGUGAGUGGAAUGCCGAGUGUAGAGGUGAAAUUCGUAGAUAUUCGGCGGAACACCAGUGGCGAAGGCGACUCACUGGCCCGAUACUGACGCUGAGGCGCGAAAGCGUGGGGAGCAAACAGG
rnacentral:rRNA from 2 species